GACGAACGCUGGCGGCGUGCUUAACACAUGCAAGUCGAACGGAAAGGCCCUGCUUUUGUGGGGUACUCGAGUGGCGAACGGGUGAGUAACACGUGAGUAACCUGCCCUUGACUUUGGGAUAACUUCAGGAAACUGGGGCUAAUACCGGAUAGGAGCUCCUGCUGCAUGGGGGGGGUUGGAAAGUUUCGGCGGUUGGGGAUGGACUCGCGGCUUAUCAGCUUGUUGGUGGGGUAGUGGCUUACCAAGGCUUUGACGGGUAGCCGGCCUGAGAGGGUGACCGGCCACAUUGGGACUGAGAUACGGCCCAGACUCCUACGGGAGGCAGCAGUGGGGAAUAUUGCACAAUGGGCGGAAGCCUGAUGCAGCAACGCCGCGUGCGGGAUGACGGCCUUCGGGUUGUAAACCGCUUUCGCCUGUGACGAAGCGUGAGUGACGGUAAUGGGUAAAGAAGCACCGGCUAACUACGUG
rnacentral:rRNA from 1 species